rnacentral:lncRNA from 12 species
GGAUUGCAGAACCUAGGAGUAACCCUCACACUAAGGAGGCUGUCCUCUCCUGGAGAGGAAGGAUGCACACUCUGUGCUGGAUAAAGACCUCUGUGAAGGGCAGCAGCAGAUGUGUAUGCGAAGUCCUGGGGGAAAUGCAGGGAGAAGAGGACCAAGCAAACUGCUGGAAGAACGGAGAGCGCAUUUGUUCUCUUGAGAUUCAGCAGCCGGGCAAGGAAUGUUGGCUCCAAUUAGUCCAUGAACAGAAAAGACAAUUCUUGAACCUUCCGGGAAAUCAUGCAGGAUGGAUAGCCUGAAUAGCACUCAGAUCCCCCUCAAGUGGAGAAGAUGCCUGAUGGUGACUGGUGCGGGACAAAUUCUAGCAACCCUGCCCUCUCCCCGACUCAAGAACAAAGCCCACCAGAAGGAAAGGAAGGACCAUCUUCUAAGAAAACAUGACUGCUUCUGAGGCUAAAUUAUGUCAAGAUAUAAGAUCAGGAAUGUCCAGAUGCUGUUUAUCCCAUCUUAAUUAAAUUUGGACUUCUUCGGGGGAAAAAAUACCUCAGUUCCAGGAAAAGCUGUUUUGACUCUGAGGCUGUUUGGAUCCUGUUUUAUGAAAACAAACAUUUUAAUCAAGAUAUCACCAUCCCUAGCAUUUCACUGUGAAGGUAUUUUUUGAAGCAAACUCUCUUGAGUCAAUAUAUGUCCUUAAUAAUAUUCUAUUUAAUGUUGUUCAAUAAUCUUAGUUUUUUUUUCCCUGUUCUCAUUUUUAGUUUCCUAAAAAUAUUUCAAAUAGGAUCAAUUCCUUUUCAGGCACACUUUACAGUGAUGCCUUGAGAAAUUAUUUGUCCAUCUGGUAUUCCUUUGCCUCUUUCAGGUAAGCACACCUCACUUUUUCCUUUAGGGAACCAUGCUUCCCCUAUCCCACAGAAUCCUGAUAGAUCUACAAGUAUCAGAGUUGUGUCCUACUGCACAGCACCUCACCCAACUGACACUCCAUGUGCCCCCAAAUGCAGAGGGGACAUUUGAUCCUGAUGGGCCAGUCCACGUCCUCUCUUCCCAAACCAGUGAUUGGGUUUGAGAUGGUCAUUUUUCUUGAGAUUUUCUGUAUAGAUGCUGAGAGAGUGCGUAUAUGCCUCUUCCAUUUGGAAUAAUAGCUAUAAGGAUAUGGUUUUUAAGUUUCCAUCUGCAGAGAAAGAGCCACAGGAAAAAAGAGAGAGAGAGAGAGAGG